ensembl:lncRNA novel transcript
GGCGGAGCCGCCCAGGUCCCCCCGGGCGUCGAUGAAUGUGGGGUACCAUUCCUUGAUGAUGUGGUCAUGUUUGUAGUCGGCCUUAUUGUCCUUUAGAUGUUCCACGGUGUUCCGCUCGCUCUUCUCAUAGGCCUCCCGGGGCUUCCGGACAGACACCUUGCAUUCUCGGACCUUGUUGACGAUGAAUUCUUGGAUGAGAAACCUGAUAUCUUCCAUGAGGCAGUCAUCAUAAAGAAGUCUGAAUAUCUUGGUUGAGAGCUAGACUUUGGAAACAGAGAGACCCUGUAUAAUAACAGACUAAGAAGUAAGGAAGACAAGCCCAGCCAGUCCCACAACUAUUUCAUUAAUACCAGGUAAAGCAACAGACCUGCCAGUGAAGCAUCUUGGAUCCUUUAGCUUUAGAAAAUCAGCUCUGUUACAUCUGCCGCCUCCUGUGAGCACAAGGCACAGAAAGUAGACCCUGUAACCCUCAGAGGGCCUGAAGGAAAGCGAUGCUGGUGUGACCUGCCCAAGAGGAUGGUGCCCAAGGCAGAGCAUUCUAGACCCUCAUAGGCAACAGAGCCAGAAUCUAUUGAAAUAUUAUUUUUUUCCGUGCAUCCACAUUUGUAAGAACACUGAUGGAUAUGAUGGUUUCUGUUUCAUCAAUAUUAAUUUAAAGCUGCUGAAUAUCCUUGGAGAGCUAAUCAAGAAGGAAUGGAAGUGAGGAUACAGAGAAUGCACAAACGGGAACCAUGUGAGGACAGUGAGAAGGUGGCCAUCUACAAGACGAGAUGAGAGGCCUCAGAAGAAAGAAACCAAAUCUACAGACACCUUGAUCUUCAACUUCUGGCAUCCAAAACUGUCUGAGAAGGAUGCCAGACACCUGACAGGCACUCAAGCAUUUGAUGAAUGAACAAAAUGUUGUUGUGACCUAUUCCAAUCCUGAGCAUGUGUUUGCACAGUCAUUCUAGAUUCAUUUAGGGGUACUGGUUCCAGAACUAGAAUCCAAAGUGAAUUAUGAGUAUAACAUCAGGGUUUUGUUUCUCUGUCUCUCUCUCUCUGUUUCUCUCUUUUUCUUUGUCUAUUCUGAGGUAGUUGAUUGGUCUGCGAAGGGUAAAAUAUGGCAAAAAUGAUUUCCAUUUGGUGUUUGUAAGUUAUUUCAAAGACAUAGCAGCUUGAGAAUAAAAAUUCUUUUUU